rnacentral:rRNA from 1 species
UAGAGGAAGUAAAAGUCGUAACAAGGUUUCCGUAGGUGAACCUGCGGAAGGAUCAUUAUCGUAUAACGGAGGCACCCAGGGCUGUCGCUGACCUUUUACAAGGUUGUGCACGCCCAAAAGUGCUCUCUCACAUCCAUUUCACCCCAUUGUGAAUCACCGCGUGGGACCUCCUAUCAGAGGUCUUGCGUUCUUUUAUAACACACACCAUUUUAAUGCAUGUAUAGAAUGACCUUUGCGAUUAUACGCAAUUAAUAUAACUUUCAACAACGGAUCUCUUGGCUCUCGCAUCGAUGAAGAACGCAGCGAAAUGCGAUACGUAAUGUGAAUUGCAGAAUUCAGUGAAUCAUCGAAUCUUUGAACGCACCUUGCGCCCCUUGGUAUUCCGAGGGGCACACCCGUUUGAGUGUCGUGAACAACCUCAACCUUUCUGGUUUCUUGACCAGAAAGGCUUGGACUUUGGAGGUUUUAAUUGCUGGCUUUCAUUCAAGUCAGCUCCUCCUAAAUGAAUUAGUGGGAUUUGCUUUGCUGAUCCUUGACGUGAUAAGUAUGUUUCUACGUCUUGGGUUUUGCAACGUCACCUGCUUCAAACCGUCUUUAAAUCAAAGACAACGUUCAAGUCACCUCGCGAGUCGUGGCUUGACAUCACUGACCUUGACCUCAAAUCGGGUGAGACUACCCGCUGAACUUAAGCAUAUCAAUAAGCGGAG